rnacentral:tRNA from 1 species
GGUGGCUCAGUGGUAGAGCGCUUGUCUUGCACGCCUGAGGCCCUGGGUUCAAUUCCUCAGCACCA